rnacentral:rRNA from 1 species
AGUGAACGCUGGCGGUAGGCCUAACACAUGCAAGUCGAACGGCAGCACAGUAAGAGCUUGCUCUUACGGGUGGCGAGUGGCGGACGGGUGAGGAAUACAUCGGAAUCUACUUUUUCGUGGGGGAUAACGUAGGGAAACUUACGCUAAUACCGCAUACGACCUACGGGUGAAAGCAGGGGAUCUUCGGACCUUGCGCGAAUGAAUGAGCCGAUGUCGGAUUAGCUAGUUGGCGGGGUAAAGGCCCACCAAGGCGACGAUCCGUAGCUGGUCUGAGAGGAUGAUCAGCCACACUGGAACUGAGACACGGUCCAGACUCCUACGGGAGGCAGCAGUGGGGAAUAUUGGGCAAUGGGCGCAAGCCUGGUCCAGCCAUACCGCGUGGGUGAAGAAGGCCUUCGGGUUGUAAAGCCCUUUUGUUGGGAAAGAAAAGCAGCAGGUUAAUACCCCGCUGUUCUGACGGUACCCAAAGAAUAAGCACCGGCUAACUUCGUG